AAAAAAGGUAAGCUACUAAGAGCAAAUGGUGGAUGCCUUGGCUAGUAGAGGCGAUGAAAGACGUGCCAGGCUGCGAUAAGUCUCGGGGAGCCGUCAAGGGGCUUUGAUCCGGGAAUUUCUGAAUGGGGCAACCCAGUAUAUAGUGAUAUAUACUACCGCAAUGCGGAGCUAACGUUGGGAAUUGAAACAUCUUAGUACCAACAGGAAAAGAAAUCAAAAGAGAUUACGCUAGUAGCGGCGAGCGAACGCGUAAGAGGGCAAACCGUUAGUUUACUAACGGGGUUGUAGGACUGCAACAUAGACUUAAACAAACUAAUAGAAUAACCUGGAAAGGUUGACCAUAGAGGGUGAUAGUCCCGUAUAUGAAAGUGCGUUUAUACUUAGCAGUAUCCUGAGUAGGGCGGGACACGUGAAAUCCUGUCUGAAGCUGGGGAGACCACUCUCCAACCCUAAAUACUACUACUAGACCGAUAGUGCACAAGUACCGUGAGGGAAAGGUGAAAAGAACUGAGGUGAUCAGAGUGAAAUAGAACCUGAAACCAUUUGCUUACAAUCAUUCAGAGCACGAUUCUUUAUGACGUGUGAUGGACUGCCUUUUGCAUAAUGAGCCUGCGAGUUGUGGUGUCUGGCGAGGUUAAGGAAACCCGGAGCCGUAGCGAAAGCGAGUCUUAAUAGGGCGUAUAGUCAGAUGCUGCAGACCCGAAACGAUGUGAUCUAUCCAUGAGCAGGUUGAAACUGGUGUAAGAGCCAGCGGAGGACCGAACAGACGGCCGUUGAAAAGGCUCCUGAUGACUUGUGGAUAGGGGUGAAAGGCCAAUCAAACAUCGUGAUAGCUGGUUCUCUCCGAAAUAUAUUUAGGUAUAGCGUUGUGUCGUAAUUAUAAGGGGUAGAGCACUGAAUGGGCUAGGGCAUAUACCAAUGUACCAAACCCUAUCAAACUCCGAAUACUUAUAAUGUAAUCACAGCAGUCAGGCGGCGAGUGAUAAAAUCCGUCGUCAAGAGGGGAACAACCCAGACUAACAGCUAAGGUCCCUAAAUCUCAUUUAAGUGGAAAACGAUGUGGAGUUACUGAAACAACCAGGAGGUUGGCUUAGAAGCAGCCAUCCUUUAAAGAAAGCGUAAUAGCUCACUGGUCUAGUGAUUCUGCGCGGAAAAUAUAACGGGGCUAAAAUGAGUACCGAAGCUUUAGACUUGCACUUAAUUCUAAUUAUAAAUUUGGCUAUGAGCUUUUAAGUUAUAUUUCUCAUAAUUUAAUUGCACUCAUAUAAAUUAAAUUAUGAGAAAAUAGUUUAGCUAAAAUAAUUAGAAGUAGUUAGAAUUAAGUGCAAGUGGUAGGAGAGCGUUCUAUUCAGCGUUGAAGGUAUACCGGUAAGGAGUACUGGAGCGGAUAGAAGUGAGCAUGCAGGCAUGAGUAGCGAUAAUUGAUGUGAGAAUCAUCAACGCCGAAAACCCAAGGUUUCCUACGCGAUGCUCGUCAUCGUAGGGUUAGUCGGGUCCUAAGCAAAGUCCGAAAGGGGUAUGCGAUGGAAAAUUGGUUAAUAUUCCAAUACCAAUUAUUAUGUGCGAUGGAAGGACGCUUAAAGUUAGUGGAGCUAGCGGAUGGAAGUGCUAGUCUAAGGGUGUAGGUUGAGUUAUAGGCAAAUCCGUAACUCUUUAUCCGAGACCUAAAAGGCUCAUGACGCUCUUCGGAGUAGAUUGAGAAUCCAUGAUACUAUCGAGCCAAGAAAAGUUUCUAAGUUUAGUAAUAAUUGCCCGUACCGUAAACCGACACAGGUGGGUGGGAUGAGUAUUCUAAGGCGCGUGGAAGAACUCUCUUUAAGGAACUCUGCAAAAUAGCACCGUAUCUUCGGUAUAAGGUGUGCCUAACUUUGUAUUAAGAUUCACUCCCAAAGCAAAGAAGGUUACAACAAAGAGUCCCUCCCGACUGUUUACCAUAAACACAGCACUCUGCUAACACGUAAGUGGAUGUAUAGGGUGUGACGCCUGCCCGGUGCUCGAAGGUUAAUUGAUGAUGUUAGCUCUGCGAAGCAUUUGAUCGAAGCCCGAGUAAACGGCGGCCGUAACUAUAACGGUCCUAAGGUAGCGAAAUUCCUUGUCGGUUAAAUACCGACCUGCAUGAAUGGCGUAACGAGAUGGGAGCUGUCUCAAAGAGGGAUCCAGUGAAAUUGUAGUGGAGGUGAAAAUUCCUCCUACCCGCGGCAAGACGGAAAGACCCCGUGGACCUUUACUACAGCUUGACACUGCUAUUUGGAUAAAGAUGCGCAGGAUAGGUGGGAGGCUUUGAUCUAUAGACCCUGGUUUAUAGUGAGCCAUUGUUGAGAUACCACUCUUCUUUAUUCGGGUAGCUAACUAGCCUAAGUUAUCCUUAGGUAGGACAAUGUCUGGUGGGUAGUUUGACUGGGGCGGUCGCCUCCCAAAAUGUAACGGAGGCUUACAAAGGUUGGCUCAGAACGGUUGGAAAUCGUUCGUAGAGUAUAAAGGCAUAAGCCAGCUUAACUGCAAGACAUACACGUCAAGCAGAGACGAAAGUCGGUCUUAGUGAUCCGGUGGUUCUGUGUGGAAGGGCCAUCGCUCAAAGGAUAAAAGGUACCCCGGGGAUAACAGGCUGAUCUCCCCCAAGAGCUCACAUCGACGGGGAGGUUUGGCACCUCGAUGUCGGCUCAUCGCAUCCUGGGGCUGGAGCAGGUCCCAAGGGUAUGGCUGUUCGCCAUUUAAAGCGGUACGCGAGCUGGGUUCAGAACGUCGUGAGACAGUUCGGUCCCUAUCUGCCGUGGGCGUAAGAAGAUUGAGGAGAGUUGACCCUAGUACGAGAGGACCGGGUCGAACUAGCCACUGGUGUACCAGUUGUUCUGCCAAGAGCAUCGCUGGGUAGCUAAGCUAGGAUGAGAUAAGAGCUGAAAGCAUCUAAGCUCGAAGCCAACUCCAAGAUGAAUCUUCUUUUAAGAGCUCUAGUAGACUACUAGUUUGAUAGGCUGGGUGUGUAAUGGAUGAAAGUCCUUUAGCUGACCAGUACUAAUAGCUCGUUUGCUUAUCUUUAUAUAAGCAUCACUUC
rnacentral:rRNA from 1 species